rnacentral:rRNA from 1 species
GUGCCAGCAGCCGCGGUAAUACGAAGGGUGCAAGCGUUAAUCGGAAUUACUGGGCGUAAAGCGUACGCAGGCGGUUUGUUAAGCCAGAUGUGAAAGCCCCGGGCUCAACCUGGGAAUUGCAUUUGGAACUGGCAAACUAGAGUCNUGUAGAGGGGGGUAGAAUUUCAGGUGUAGCGGUGAAAUGCGUAGAGAUCUGAAGGAAUACCGGUGGCGAAGGCGGCCCCCUGGACAAAGUACUGACGCUCAGGUNCGAAAGCGUGGGGAGCAAACAGGAUUAGAUACCCUGGUAGUCC